AGUGAACGCUGGCGGUGGGCCUAACACAUGCAAGUCGAACGGCAGCACAGUAAGAGCUUGCUCUUACGGGUGGGGGGUGGCGGACGGGUGAGGAAUACAUCGGAAUCUACUUUUUCGUGGGGGAUAACGUAGGUAAACUUACGCUAAUACCGCAUACGACCUACGGGUGAAAGCAGGGGAUCUUCGGACCUUGCGCGAUUGAAUGCGCCGAUGUCGGAUUAGCUAGUUGGGGGGGUAAAGGCCCACCAAGGCGACGAUCCGUAGCUGGUCGGAGAGGAUGGUCGGCCACACUGGAACGUAGACACGGACCAGGCUACUACGGGAGGCAGCAGUGGGGUAUGGUAGACAGUAGGCGCGAGUCUUAUCCAACCAGAGCGCGUGUGUGAAGGAGGCCUUCGGGUUGGAAAGCCCGUUUGUUGGGAAAGAAAAGCAGCAGGUUGAGACCCCGCUGUACUGACGGUACCCAAUGAAGAAGCACCGGCUAACUACGUG
rnacentral:rRNA from 1 species